rnacentral:ncRNA from 1 species
UUCAUCGAGAGCAGCAGAGGGAUUUGGCCCUAUGAAGCUGCGGCAACCCCCGGAAGGGAAGGUGCCAAUUCCAACAGGGAUCCUCCCUGGCAGAUGAA